rnacentral:rRNA from 1 species
GUGCCAGCCGCCGCGGUAAUACCGGCAGCCCGAGUGAUGGCCGAUCUUAUUGGGCCUAAAGCGUUCGUAGCUGGCCAGUCAAGUCUGUUGGGAAAUCCACGUGCCCAACACGUGGGCGUCCAACAGAGACUGACUGGCUUGGGACCGGAAGACCCGAAGAGUACGUCUGGGGUAGGAGUGAAAUCCCGUAAUCCGAGACGGACUACCGAUGGCGAAAGCACUUCGGGAGUACGGAUCCGACAGUGAGGAACGAAAGCUGGGGUCUCGAACCGGAUUAGAUACCCGAGUAGUCC